GGCUGGAUGGCCGAGCGGUCUAAGGCGCUAGACUCAAGAUCACAGUAUCUUCUCUUCUAUAGAAGGGUGCAUUCUAGUCUCGAAAGAGGCGCGCGUUCGAAUCGCGCUCCAGUCA
rfam:Podospora anserina genomic DNA, chromosome 2.